rnacentral:rRNA from 1 species
AAUGGGGGCAACCCUGAUCCAGCAAUGCCGCGUGUGUGAAGAAGGCCUUCGGGUUGUAAAGCACUUUUGGCGGGAACGAAAUGGAGCUUGCUAAUACCAGGCUUCGAUGACGGUACUCGCAGAAUAAGCACCGGCUAACUACGUGCCAGCAGCCGCGGUAAGACGUAGGGUGCAAGCGUUAAUCGGAAUUACUGGACGUAAAGCGUGCGCAGGCGGUUUUGUAAGACAGGCGUGAAGUCCCCGGGCUUAACCUGGGAACUGCGCUUGUGACUGCAAGACUAGAGUGUGUCAGAGGGAGGUGGAAUUCCGCGUGUAGCAGUGAAAUGCGUAGAGAUGCGGAGGAACACCGAUGGCGAAGGCAGCCUCCUGGGAUAACACUGACGCUCAUGCACGAAAGCGUGGGGAGCAAA